rnacentral:tRNA from 1 species
AAGGAUUUAAGUUAAAGAAACUAUUAACCUUCAAAGUUGAAAUUACUUGAAACAAAAAAGUAAGCCUUG